rnacentral:misc_RNA from 1 species
GCAAACUUGGUCAUUUAGAGGAAGUAAAAGUCGUAACAAGGUCUCCGUUGGUGAACCAGCGGAGGGAUCAUUACUGAGUUGUAAAACUCUCAACCCUUAUGUGAACGUACCUCCAUUUUUUGGCUGUUGCUUCGGCGGCGCGCCCCUUUCUCUGAAAGUGUGCCCGCCGACAGUAGCGGCUCCUUAAACUCUUGUUUACCUAUAAUUUUUACUCUGAGUUGACAAAAACAAAAUAAGUCAAAACUUUCAACAACGGAUCUCUUGGUUCUGGCAUCGAUGAAGAACGCAGC